CUAUCUUAUAGAUGCAGUUCAAAGAUUCAAAGGCCUGAGAGCGAGUGACUCCUCCACUCAAUCAACAAGAGAACUCGCCUUUAAGAUAUACCGGACUUUUGU
rnacentral:ribozyme from 1 species